rnacentral:rRNA from 1 species
UUGAUCCUGGCUCAGAACGAACGCUGGCGGCAGGCCUAACACAUGCAAGUCGAACGACACAGUGGCAGACGGGUGAGUAACGCGUGGGAACGUGCCCUUCAGUACGGAAUAGCUUCUGGAAACGGAAGGUAAUACCGUAUACGCCCUCCGGGGGAAAGAUUAUCGCUGAAGGAUCGGCCCGCGUUAGAUUAGCUUGUUGGUGAGGUAAUGGCUCACCAAGGCGACGAUCUAUAGCUGGUCUGAGAGGAUGAUCAGCCACACUGGGACUGAGACACGGCCCAGACUCCUACGGGAGGCAGCAGUGGGGAAUCUUGCACAAUGGGCGAAAGCCUGAUGCAGCCAUGCCGCGUGAAUGAUGAAGGCCUUAGGGUUGUAAAAUUCUUUCAUCAGGGACGAUAAUGACGGUACCUGAAGAAGAAGCCCCGGCUAACUUCGUGCCAGCAGCCGCGGUAAUACGAAGGGGGCUAGCGUUGUUCGGAAUUACUGGGCGUAAAGCGCGCGUAGGCGGACUAUUAAGUCAGAUGUGAAAUCCCGGGGCUCAACCUCGGAACUGCAUUUGAAACUGGUAGUCUAGAGGCCAGGAGAGGUUAGUGGAAUGCCGAGUGUAGAGGUGAAAUUCGUAGAUAUUCGGUGGAACACCAGUGGCGAAGGCGACUGACUGGACUGGUACUGACGCUGAGGUGCGAAAGUGUGGGGAGCAAACAGGAUUAGAUACCCUGGUAGUCCACACCGUAAACGAUGAGUGCUAGUUGUCGGCAGGCAUGCCUGUCGGUGACGCAGCUAACGCAUUAAGCACUCCGCCUGGGGAGUACGGCCGCAAGGUUAAACUCAAAGAAAUUGACGGGGGCCCGCACAAGCGGUGGAGCAUGUGGUUUAAUUCGAAGCAAACGCGCAGAACCU